rnacentral:tRNA from 1 species
GCCGGCUUAGCUCAGCUGGUAGAGCAACCGCCUUGUAAGCGGUAGGUCGUCUGUUCGAGUCAGACAGCCGGCACCA